rnacentral:rRNA from 1 species
UACGAAGGGGGCUAGCGUUGCUCGGAAUCACUGGGCGUAAAGGGUGCGUAGGCGGGUGCUCAAGUCCGGGGUGAAAUCCUCCAGCUCAACUGGAGAACUGCCUCGGAUACUGGGUGCCUCGAGUGUGGUAGGGGUGUGCGGAACUAUCGGUGGAGCGGUGAAAUGCGUUGAUAUCGAUAGGAACUCCGGUGGCGAAGGCGGCACACUGGACCACAACUGACGCUGAGGCGCGAAAGCCAGGGGAGCAAACGGG